AACGAACGCUGGCGGCAUGCCUAACACAUGCAAGUCGAACGAGACCUUCGGGCCUAGUGGUGCACGGGUGCGUAACGCGUGGGAACCUGCCCUUAGGUUCGGCAUAACUCCCCGAAAGGGGUGCUAAUACCGGAUAAUGUCCUCCGACCAAAGUUUUAUCGCCUUUGGAUGGGCCCGCGUUGGAUUAGCUGGUUGGUAGGGUAAAAGCCUCCCAAGGCGACGAUCCAUAGCUGGUCAGGGAGGAUGAUCAGCCACACUGGGACUGAGACACGGCCCAGACUCCUACGCAAGGGAGCAGUGGGGAAUAUAGGAAAGCGGGCGAAAGGCUGAUCCUGCAAGGACGCGUGAGUGAUGAAGGCCUUAAGGUUGUAAAGCUCGUUUACCCGGGAUGAUAAUGACAGUACCGGGAGAAUAAGCUCCGGCUAACUCCGUG
rnacentral:rRNA from 1 species